GCAAGGCCAGUACUGAAGCGAUCGGAUCUGAACGCACAGAACAAUCUCCUUUACCAUGGGAAAUGGUGAAAGAAGAAGACCCAGGAAGAAGAUGAAAGCCGCCGCGGCGGCAAGGAUGAACAAAAGAUGAUGAACUCGGAAAAUGAAGAAUACUUCUAUGGUGAUGACGCCGAUGAGGAUUCUCGAGACGGUACUGUACAUUUCUGGAUUGAAGGUGAUGGAGAGGUGAAGAAGAGGGGUUUUAGCAAACUAGAAUUGAAGCCUGAUCAUGCAAACAGGCCAUCGUGGGCAUGUGCAGAUGGAAGAAUUUUCCUCGACACAUUCUCUCCCCUUUACAAACAAGCCCUACGAUUUUCUCAUUGCCAUGGCAGAACCUGUUUGCAGGCCAGAGGCCAAAGGUUUUACUCCCCUGUUGAACCUUUGAUAAUAUCUCCAAAGACAUAGCUGCAACUGUCCUUACCCUUUUUUAUGCAGUGGAUAAUCUAGGAUGUUCCCUUGACGGAAUAAUGUUUAGGGGCUGAUAAUGUAUCUUCAACAAAACUUGUGGGUUAUUAUGCAAAUUCCCGUCAUUAGUUUAAUAUUA